GAGGUGGCACAGUUAAAAAUGCUAAGAUCUGCACUUGGUGUGACGAGGUUGGAUAGGAUUAGAAAUGAGGACAUUAGAGGGUCAGCUCAAGUUGGACGGUUGGGAGACAAAGUCAGAGAGGCGAGACUGCAUUGGUUUGGACAUAUGCUGGGUAUAAUGGGAGAAGGGUACUAAGGAUAGAGCUGCCAGGAAAGAGGAGAAGAGGAAGGACUAAGAGGAGGUUUAUGGAUGUGGUGAGAGAGGACAUGCAGGUGAUGGGUGUAACAGAACAAGAUGACGAGGACAGGAAGAUAUGGAAG